CUACUAACCAAGUGUGUGUGUGUGUAUAAAAUAAUGUAAAAGGUAGACAGUUGUUAAUUUUUUUUUAAGUUAAAUGUAUAGUUUAGUAUCCAUCUGUUUUGUUGUGUCAGAAAUUAUUAACAAUACAAAUGGUUUAUUAUUAAUCUUAAAUAAUAACAAAGCUUGAACAUUUGAUUUUGUUUAAAAGACAUUUUUAAUACUCAAUUUCACAACUAAACAAAGAAAAUCUUUUUCUCAAAGAUCAAUUCUAUAGUAGAGUGAAAAAACAAAAAGGACAAAUUUUAAUAAAGUGUUUUUGUCCUCUUAAAUAGCAAAAGCAUAACACACUAGCUGUACCUACUCCAAAAUAAAUACAAAUAAAUAAAAUUAAAAAAUUCAAACAAAGAAAAUAAUUGAAAUAGUCAGGCACACACUGCUUCUCCGCCCACUUCCGGCCUCGGCCGGUUCUGCAUGGUGGGGAGGGGGGAUUUUUAACUCAUCACUCUUUUUCAAAACAGCGCGGUAAACAAGAUGACGUCGCAGCUCAUCUCUUCUCCUGCUUUUCUUCCGUUGUUACAAAGGACACGAUUCAAUGAAUCAUUCAAUCGAUGUACUUGUAUUUCUGAGACAGUACACAACGCUAUAUUAGGGAGGUCAGAGAUGAUUAUCCUUGAGGGUCGUGUGAUUUGUGAGGCCGUAUACCCAAGAUUUCGGACUGCAAGAUUUCUACUGUUCGCAAUGUACUACGUCUUAAAUCUUCAGUAUCCAGCAUGUGGCACAUUGGAUUUUAUUUAUAGACAAUUUGUCGGAUAAACCCUGAAAAAAGCUCGAAGACCAGCAAAGUCAAGGUCGUUAAGAAAACUGGAAAGAAUGUGAAUAAGAAGACUGCUACUGUCAACCCAGAAGUUGCAUCCCUCCUAAAGAACCUCAUCCGUUUCGAAUGGGAUUUUGUCUAGACCUGGAUUUCCUCUCAAGCCAGAGCAAUCAGAAGCUGGAGUAAGACACUUACAUUUUUUUCCAACAAUUAGUUUGAUUAAUGUGUUCUUCAUUUCAUGCCAGGUUUUUAAAAUAUGUUGUGCCAUGCUGGCAGUUUUUUCUUCUUGUUGUAAGUUUGUUUUUAGCUCCUUGAGUUGCACUUUUUUCUGUGAUUUCUGUUUUUAACUCUUUCCCGCCAUUGACAAGUUUUUAUAGCAAUCCGUAUUUCCGCUAUUAUGGCGCUCUUACCCAACUUAUACAACCUGGAAGCAACCCCUCAGGUCAAACAAUUCAAACUCAGUGUAUGUUUUGAUUAUUGCUCCAGAUUUCUAUCAGAAGUCUUUUGAAGAAACCUACACAUAUUUGAGAGGUGGUAAAAAAAGAACUAAUUAAGGUAGGAUGAAUUUUUUUUAUUGUUGUUUGAAAGCAGAGGGGUUUGUUAUUUUAUUUGAUUCGAUUUGAUAUAUUGAAGGUUUAUAUAGUUAAAGAAGAAUGUUUUCUUGAAGGCAUUAAACUUUUGUAAAAAUCUUUUAAAACGCUGGCACUGGCUGUCAACUUUUUUUAAAAAACACUGGCGGGGAAAGAGUUAACAUACUGUUAAAUUCACUUUAACUGUUACUCCGUAGCUCCUUCAAUUGCACUUUAUUUUUGUGAUGUGGUCUUACUUUACCCUGUGGUUGCUUUUUAAUGGCACCUUUUCUCUGUGACAGUGCAUUUAUUGUUAAACAUACUUGUAGAUGUUUACAGUGCUAAAAGAUUGUUUAAAGAUUGUAAUAACAGUUGUAUUAAUAAAUGGAAAAUUGAGCACUAUGUCAGUCAUUUCUCUUUUUUUAUUAGUUGUUAGGAUAUCAGACAGUAGAGUAAAUAUUAACUAACUUGUGUUAUGUUUCACAACUUAAAAAUGUAAGAAAACAAACCGUAAUGAGUGUGUAUAAUUAUAAGAAAUUGCUGGAACCAUUGCUGCAAGUACUUCACUGUAAAAUUACGGCACAACUGUAAAAUGGA